rnacentral:piRNA from 1 species
AUCACAGUGGGACUGCAAGUAGAGCAGCGG